rnacentral:rRNA from 1 species
AGUGAACGCUGGCGGUAGGCCUAACACAUGCAAGUCGAACGGCAGCACAGUAAGAGCUUGCUCUUACGGGUGGCGAGUGGCGGACGGGUGAGGAAUACAUCGGAAUCUACUUUUUCGUGGGGAUAACGUAGGGAAAAUUACGCUAAUACCGCAUACGACCUACGGGUGAAAGCAGGGGAUCUUCGGACCUUGCGCGAUUGAAUGAGCCGAUGUCGGAUUAGCUAGUUGGCGGGGUAAAGGCCCACCAAGGCGACGAUCCGUAGCUGGUCUGAGAGGAUGAUCAGCCACACUGGAACUGAGACACGGUCCAGACUCCUACGGGAGGCAGCAGUGGGGAAUAUUGGACAAUGGGCGCAAGCCUGAUCCAGCCAUACCGCGUGGGUGAAGAAGGCCUUCGGGUUGUAAAGCCCUUUUGUUGGGAAAGAAAAGCAGCAGGUUAAUACCCCGCUGUUCUGACGGUACCCAAAGAAUAAGCACCGGCUAACUUCGUG